GUGUUCCUCCUCGUCUCAGAUGAUCCAGAUGUUCCUCCAAGUCCAUCCGAAUGCAAAACCCAGAACCAGCUGGUCCAGGUUUACCGCUCAGCCCUCGGAGUCACUGUCCUCGUUGUCCUCGUCAUCGGUUUGGUUUCGCUGUCGUCAUAUUUGAAGAGUAAGAAACGCCUCCGACAGGUGAACGAGCCCCCAGGUGUGGUCUACGAGAACUCAGAGACCCUUCGGACUGUUCAGGUUGAGGAGAUCGACUCUCAGCCAGCGAGACGAUGAAGAAGCUGUGAGCGACGUCUUCGCUCUUCGUCCACAGUUUCUAAACGGGAUAAUGAGCUAAUUAAAAAUGAAACCUUCUUUGUGAUUAGCCUCAAACUAGUUGAUGGUCUUGAAUGUCAACAAACACGUCUAGUUGUUGUGUACCCCAAUAAACAUACGUAACCGUACUCCUGAAAGAA